ACCAACCUAAGUUUCCUCAGUCAUAUCCUCUCUCCUUUCUCUCCCUCAUCCUCUCUUCUCUCUCUCCAUGAUUGUCAACCAUUUAGGCGGCGCUGGUGAUCAUGUUCUUGACGUAAUCGGUGUGGUCAGGGCAAUUUGCAUCUCUCUCUCUCUCUCAAUCUAUACUGAUUUUGUGUGUGUAUAUAUGUAUCAGUAAGACACAAAGAUGAUGUUGAUUAGAUUAAUUUGUCCUAAUUGACACCCACUGUUGUCGAUGAUCUUGAGCCUGCAUUCGUCCUCAUAUUCUUCUUUUUCUUCUUCUUCUGCUGCUAAAAUUCAAGCGGAGUGAACGAUCAAAGAAGGUCCCAGACACCAUUGGACUCAAGAUGAAAUCAAGUCCAUUUGGGACUCCCCUCUUCUCGAUCUCCUCUUUCAUGGGAAUGGGUGAUCAUUGACAAUAAUAAAGUUACUGAUGUAGCGGAAUUUGGACGAGGAGAUGGUGAUGUGAGCAAAUUAGAUUGCAAGUUGUGUGAGCAAAUCAAAUUGAAUUUUUUCUGGAUUGUGUGAAUUUUCUCCAGAUGACUGUGUGAAUUUUAUCUGGCUGUGAUCAUUGUUUGUAAUUUUGUGAAUUUUCUCCGGCUGUAUGAAUUUUUCUAACUGUGAUUACGGUGUGAAUUUUCUUUAAUUGUGGUCAUUGUUUGUAAUUUUGUAAAUUUUCUAUGGUUGUGGUUACCAUAUGAAUUUUCUCUGGCUA